UACAGAGGGGGCAAGCGUUGUUCGGAAUUACUGGGCGUAAAGGGCGCGUAGGCGGCCCGCUAAGUCGAACGUGAAAUCCCCGAGCUCAACUCGGGAACUGCGUCCGAUACUGGUGGGCUUGAAUCCGGGAGAGGGAUGCGGAAUUCCAGGUGUAGCGGUGAAAUGCGUAGAUAUCUGGAGGAACACCGGUGGCGAAGGCGGCAUCCUGGACCGGUAUUGACACUGAGGCGCGAAAGCCAGGGGAGCAAACGGG
rnacentral:rRNA from 1 species